GAGUAGGUACACAAUAGCGGUCAUUUAGUGAAGACCUGAGGCAAAUCAGUGACCAGACUUAGAAGGCGAAAGGAACGAUAGUUGGGUAGCCAAACAUUUCCACAAAAGGAUUGCUGAGAAGAUUAAACGAGUGGGCCCUCAAUUCAGUGACUGGCAUCCUUAUAAGAAGAGAUGAGGACACAGAGACAUGGAGGGAAGAAGAUCAUGUGAAAGACGUAGGCAGAGAUUGGAGAUCUGCUGCCACAAGGCAGGGAAGCAGGAACCACCAGGAGCUGGAAGAGGUGAGGGAGGAUUCUCUGCUGUUGGUAAACUGUGUGUCAAUUGUAGGCCUCUCCCUUUGUUCUCACUCAAACCAUAAAACCUAACAGUACCUUGUCUUAAAAAUUCUGAUUAUCAUGUGGCUUAUCAUAUGGCUGUC